GACAGAAAGUGCAAACAUUGCUCGGAAUCACUGGGCGUAAAGAGCGCAUAAACAAGGAUGUAAGUCGGGCGUGAAAUCCCCAGGCUCAACCUGGGAACUGCACUCGAAACUGCGUUUCUUAAGUAUCGGAGAGGAAAGCGGAAUUCCUGGUGUAGAGGUGAAAUUCGUAGAUAUCAGGAGGAACACCAGUGGCGAAGACGGCUUUCUGGACGGUAACUAACGCUGAGGCACGAAAGCGUGGAAAGCAAACAGG
rnacentral:rRNA from 1 species